rnacentral:rRNA from 1 species
UAACCUUGCGGCCGUACUCCCCAGGCGGUCUACUUAAUGCGUUAGCUUGAGAGCCCAGUGUUCAAGACACCAAACUCCGAGUAGACAUCGUUUACGGCGUGGACUACCAGGGUAUCUAAUCCUGUUUGCUCCCCACGCUUUCGUGCCUGAGCGUCAGUCUUUGUCCAGGGGGCCGCCUUCGCCACCGGUAUUCCUCCAGAUCUCUACGCAUUUCACCGCUACACCUGGAAUUCUACCCCCCUCUACAAGACUCUAGUUCGCCAGUUCGAAAUGCAAUUCCCAGGUUGAGCCCGGGGCUUUCACAUCUCGCUUAACAAACCGCCUGCGCACGCUUUACGCCCAGUAAUUCCGAUUAACGCUCGGACCCUCCGUAUUACCGCGGCUGCUGGCACGGAGUUAGCCGGUCCUUCUUCUGUAGGUAACGUCACAGCAAUAACGUAUUAAGUUAUUACCUUUCCUCCCUACUGAAAGUGCUUUACAACCCGAAGGCCUUCUUCACACACGCGGCAUGGCUGCAUCAGGGUUUCCCCCAUUGUGCAAUAUUCCCCA